AGAGUUUGAUCUGGCUCAGAUUGAACGCUGCGCAGGCUUAACACAUGCAAGUCGAACGAUGACUCUCUAGCUUGCUAGAGAAGAUUAGUGGCGGACGGGUGAGUAACAUUUAGGAAUCUGCCUAGUAGUGGGGGAUAGCUCGGGGAAACUCGAAUUAAUACCGCAUACUACCUACGGGUGAAAGGGGGCGCAAGCUCUUGCUAUUAGAUGAGCCUAAAUCAGAUUAGCUAGUUGGUGGGGUAAAGGCCUACCAAGGCGACGAUCUGUAACUGGUCUGAGAGGAUGAUCAGUCACACCGGAACUGAGACACGGUCCGGACUCCUACGGGAGGCAGCAGUGGGGAAUAUUGGACAAUGGGGGCAACCCUGAUCCAGCCAUGCCGCGUGUGUGAAGAAGGCCUUUUGGUUGUAAAGCACUUUAAGCAGGGAGGAGAGGCUAAUGGUUAAUACCCAUUAGAUUAGACGUUACCUGCAGAAUAAGCACCGGCUAACUCUGUGCCAGCAGCCGCGGUAAUACAGAGGGUGCGAGCGUUAAUCGGAAUUACUGGGCGUAAAGCGAGUGUAGGUGGCUCAUUAAGUCACAUGUGAAAUCCCCGGGCUUAACCUGGGAACUGCAUGUGAUACUGGUGGUGCUAGAAUAUGUGAGAGGGAAGUAGAAUUCCAGGUGUAGCGGUGAAAUGCGUAGAGAUCUGGAGGAAUACCGAUGGCGAAGGCAGCUUCCUGGCAUAAUAUUGACACUGAGAUUCGAAAGCGUGGGUAGCAAACAGGAUUAGAUACCCUGGUAGUCCACGCCGUAAACGAUGUCUACUAGCCGUUGGGGUCCUUGAGACUUUAGUGGCGCAGUUAACGCGAUAAGUAGACCGCCUGGGGAGUACGGCCGCAAGGUUAAAACUCAAAUGAAUUGACGG
rnacentral:rRNA from 1 species